GCUAACUCCGUGCCAUCGUGCUCGGAAAGUCGUGUGAUCCAAUCAUUAUACGGAAUCAGUUAGUUUAAAGGGUCCGUAAGCGGCCUUAUAAGUCAUCGUUGAAAUUUUUUGGCUUAACCAAAAAAUUGCCAUUGAUACUGUAGGGCUUGAAUAUUUGUGAAGUAACUAGAAUAUGUAGUGUAGCGGUGAAAUGCUUAGAUAAUACAUGUAAUACCAAUUGCGAAGGCAGGUUACUAACAAAUGAUUGACGCUGAUGGACGAAAGCGUGUGUAGCGAACAGGAUUAGAUACCCCAGUAGUC
rnacentral:rRNA from 1 species